rnacentral:rRNA from 1 species
GAACGCUGGCGGUAUGCCUAACACAUGCAAGUCGUACGAGAGGUUUUUAAACUCUAGUGGCGGACGGGUGAGUAACACGUGAGAAUUUGCCUUUAGGAGGGGGACAACAAUCGGAAACGAAUGCUAAUACCCCAUAUGCUUUCGAGUGAAAUGGAUUUAUCCGCCUAGAGAGAAGCUCGCGGCUGAUUAGCUUGUUGGUAAGGUAAGAGCUUACCAAGGCGACGAUCAGUAUCUGGUUUGAGAGGACGAUCAGACACACUGGAACUGAGACACGGCCCAGACUCCUACGGGAGGCAGCAGUGGGGGAAUAUUGGACAAUGGGCGAAAGCCUGAUCCAGCAAUGCCGCGUGAGUGAUGAAGGCCUUCGGGUUGUAAAGCUCUUUUACUCGGGACGAUAAUGACGGUACCGAGAGAAUAAGCCCCGGCUAACUCCGUG